rnacentral:lncRNA from 1 species
GUGGUUGAGGGAGAGUAUGGAGACGAGAAAGAAACAAAUUGGAUAAGUGAGGAAGGUGGAUUAGGGUUAGGCAAGGGUUUCUGAUUUUUUUUUUCAAUUGGGGCAACAGUAGGGAUGACAAAGAAAAUGUUGGAGUGAGAGAGAUGAAAAAGAAAGGGUUGAGAGGAAUGAGGGAUGUGAGUAAGGGUUUGGGUUUUUUUUUUUUUUUUUUCAAGUUUUGAGAAUGAAAAUUAUUUAAAUAUCUUUGACCUUAAAACUUAAAAUCCAUCAUAAAUGAAAGUAUUUUUGUCUACUAUAAUCCCGUAUACAUCGUUAAAACGUACCAACUGAAAAAUAGGUGUACGCAUGUUAACAAACCCCA